rnacentral:lncRNA from 1 species
UGGAGUCUCACUCUGUCUCCCAGGCUGGAGUGCAGUGGCAGGAUCUCGGCUCACUGCAAGCUCCGCCUCCCGGGCUCACACCAUUCUCCUGCCUCAGCCUCCCAAGUAGCUGGGACUACAGGCGCCCGCCACCACGCCCGGAGAAUUUUUUGUAUUUUUAGUAGAGACGGGGUUUCACCGUGUUAGCCAGGAUGGUCUCGAUCUGCUGACCUUGUGAUCCACCCGCCUCGGCCUCCCAAAGUGCUGGGAUUACAGGUGUGAGCCACCGCACCUGGCCAAUUUUUGCUUAUUUUUCCUCAAAGGGAGGAAAACUGACAGGUUGCUUUAAGAGCUGAGUGAUUGAGAGUCCUUCUGAACAGGACUUCGGGAAUUUACUCCUAAUCUUUUCCCAUGGUUAACUUGUCUUCACUCUGUUUCUAGAACUCUGGUUUUUAUACUUGAGACUCUGUAGUCACUGUGGAAAGAGGUGUGACUGAUAAAGAACUGCCUUUAAAUACCUGAGUCCUCGUCAGCUUCUUCACUGCUACAACCUGGAGACCUCGUAAUUUGGUUGGGACGCAAAUUUGCAACUGGUAUUCUGCUCCAAAGAGGUUCUCCCCAUGUACCUGCAAAUUAAAAUCAGAGUAGGAAAUCAAAGCUGGUAUUGCUUUGCCAUC